UUUGAAAUCUGGCUCUCGGGCCCGAGUUGUAAUUUGUAGAGGAUGCUUUUGGCGAGGUGCCUUCUGAGUUCCCUGGAACGGGACGCCAGAGAGGGUGAGAGCCCCGUAUAGUCGGACACCUAGCCUCUGUAAAGCUCCUUCGACGAGUCGAGUAGUUUGGGAAUGCUGCUCAAAAUGGGAGGUAUAUCUCUUCUAAAGCUAAAUAUAGGCCAGAGACCGAUAGCGCACAAGUAGAGUGAUCGAAAGAUGAAAAGCACUUUGAAAAGAGGGUUAAAUAGCACGUGAAAUUGUUGAAAGGGAAGCGCUUGUGACCAGACUUGUGCCGGGCUGAUCAUCCACCGUUUUCGGUGGUGCACUCGACCCGGCUCAGGCCAGCGUCGGUUCUCGUAGGGGGAUAAAAGCUUCGGGAACGUGGCUCCUUCGGGAGUGUUAUAGCCCGUUGCUUAAUACCCUUGUGGGGACCGAGGUUCGCGCUCUGCAAGGACGCUGGCAUAAUGGUCAUCAGCGA
rnacentral:rRNA from 1 species